CCUACGGGGCGCAGCAGUCGAGAAUCAUUCACCAUGGGGGAAACCCUGAUGGUGCGACGCCGCGUGGGGGAAUGAAGGUCUUCGGAUUGUAAACCCCUGUCAUGUGGGAGCAAAUUAAAAAGAUAGUACCACAAGAGGAAGAGACGGCUAACUCUGUGCCAGCAGCCGCGGUAAUACAGAGGUCUCAAGCGUUGUUCGGAAUCACUGGGCGUAAAGCGUGCGUAGGCUGUUUCGUAAGUCGUGUGUGAAAGGCGCGGGCUCAACCCGCGGACGGCACAUGAUACUGCGAGACUAGAGUAAGGGAGGGGGAACCGGAAUUCUCGGUGUAGCAGUGAAAUGCGUAGAUAUCGAGAGGAACACUCGUGGCGAAGGCGGGUUCCUGGACAUUAACUGACGCUGAGGCACGAAGGCCAGGGGAGCGAAAGGGAUUAGAUACCCUUGUAGUC
rnacentral:rRNA from 1 species